UAAAGGCUUGUUUAGCAUAUGCGCGGCAUUCCGUUUGGCCAUAACGAAUCUGGCCGAGGAGCGCUCCUGACCGAGCUCCCUCCCGGCAGCGAGCCGGUCCCGUCCAUUACUGGCGGCGCUCCCAUCCUUCUCUUCCCCGCGCCUCGUCCGUGAGCUCCAGUUAAGCGCGCAUGGCCCCGGUUGGCGAGCUCCAGUGGCCGUCGUGCCGAGCUGAGGCCAUUGCUCUCCUCCACUCUCCCAGGCAGAUACUGCAAUGGAUACUCCCGGCAGCAAUGGAGAAUCCACAGCAACCGGCGACGAGAACCACGGUUCGUUUCCAAUUCAAGCUUCCUUGACCUCCUCGUGCCCCAUAGAUUUUUCAAUGAAAUUGAUGUUCAGCGACACAAUGCGACAUAUGUGAAUUGGUCCCUCGCCAUUGAAGAUGUUGAGCACUUGUUGAUUGAGGUACCAGCCGCGCCUUAGGAUAUUAGUGCUCCCCCUCCCAUUAAUGUUGUAGAGCAAGGUCAUUCGGUACCGGAUUCGUCAACUCAAGGAAAUGAUUUUGAGGGAAUUUUACCGGAUUUACGAUGGGAAGAAGAAGGACCUCAACAUGUACCCAACGAGAGUGUUAUGUACCUCAAACUUGGAUUAGUUGUCGAGGAUGAACGAGAAAAUAAAGAGAGAGAGGAUGCUUGCAAUCGUAGAGGUCAUGGAAAUAAUCUAGAUGAACUUGGUGGCGAUGGUUCAGCACCUUUGCCUUGUGUUGAUUUUUUGCCGCACAAGACCAGAGUUGUCUAUGACUCUAAUCAUCCAGCGAUGGAGGUUGGCAGCUUGUAUGCAUCUAUGACUGAAUUUAGGCUGGCAAUGAGACAAUAUGCCAUAGACAAAGAAUUCGAGUUAGGUAUUGAGGCUAGUACCCCGAAGAAAUAUAGAGGCUAUUGUCGUGGAGGCGACUGUCCUUGGAGCAUAAAUGCAUAAUUGUAUGUUUUUCUAUGUCGAGAACUUAACAUUUAUUUAUUUAAUUUGUUGUGGCCUUCGAAGUAAUCCAAUGAGAGUGUUAUUGUUGUUUCA